CUACGCUGGCGGCAUGCUCACACAUGUCAGUCGAGCGAGAAAGUGUAGCAAUACAUGAGUACAGCGGCGCACGGGUGAGUAACACGUGGAUACCUGCCUCAAAGUGGGGAAUAACACCGGGAAACCGGUGCUAAUACCGCAUAUUCUGACGAGGUCUGCGGAUUUCGUCAGGAAAGGAGCAAUUCGCUAUGAGAGGGGUCCGCGUGCUGACUUACGCUCCAGUUGGUGAACGGUAAUGGCUCACCAAGGCCACGAUCAGUAGCCGGUCUGAGAGGACGGG
rnacentral:rRNA from 1 species